rnacentral:rRNA from 1 species
GACAGAGGAUGCAAGCGUUAUCCGGAAUGAUUGGGCGUAAAGCGUCUGUAGGUGGCUUUUUAAGUCCGCCGUCAAAUCCCAGGGCUUCAACCCUGGACAGGCGGUGGAAACUACCAAGCUGGAGUACGGUAGGGGCAGAGGGAAUUUCCGGUGGAGCGGGUGAAAUGCGUAGAGAUCGGAAAGAACACCAACGGCGAAAGCAACUCUGCUGGGACCGACACUGACACUGAGAGACGAAAGCUAGGGGAGCGAAUGGG